UAGACACAGGUCUUACACAGGUCCGCAUCUAU
rnacentral:piRNA from 1 species